UGCAGCCAUAGAGAAAGACCAAACAGGACUGAUCCUGAAAACACAAUAUUUCAACAAUUCAAAAGGUACCUUCCACCAAACUUUCUUCCUCGUCUCCUCAUCACCUCCUGGUUUUCUUUCUCCAACUGAAACAACGCUCAUAUUUUCAUCUUUGGGAGCAUUUCCAAAGUUCGACUCACCCAAAACCUCAGAACCCUCAUUCAUCUCCCCAACAUCAGCAAAACCCAGACUAUCACCACUUGAAUCAGACCAGAACGUGCCCAAAUCCUUAUCCUUACUACGGUUUUCUCCAAAUUCUUCAAAACCUGCCAGGUUUUUCACAUUCUCCUCAAAGCUGAUUUCACUUUUACCCUCCAAAUUACUGAAAGUACCCUCACGAGACAAGAAUUUCCCUUCCUCACCAUCUUUACCUUCAAUUUCUCCAAUCC
rnacentral:misc_RNA from 1 species